rnacentral:misc_RNA from 1 species
GAUGAAGAACGUAGCGAAAUGCGAUAAGUAGUGUGAAUUGCAGAAUUCCGUGAAUCAUCAAAUCUUUGAACGCACAUUGCGCCCCCUGGCAUUCCGGGGGGCAUGCCUGUUCGAGCGUCAUUGCUGCCCUCAAGCACGGCUUGUGUGUUGGGCCCCGUCCUCCGAUCCCGGGGGACGGGCCCGAAAGGCAGCGGCGGCACCGCGUCCGGUCCUCGAGCGUAUGGGGCUUUGUCACCCGCUCUGUAGGCCCGGCCGGCGCUUGCCGAUCAACCCAAAUUUUUAUCCAGGUUGACCUCGGAUCAGGUAGGGAUACCCGCUGAACUUAAGCAUAUCAAUAAGCGGAGGA